UACGAAGGGGGCUAGCGUUGUUCGGAAUUACUGGGCGUAAAGCGCGCGCAGGCGGUUCUUCAAGUCAGUGGUGAAAGCCCGGAGCUCAACUCCGGAACUGCCAUUGAAACUGUGGAACUUGAGGAUGAGAGAGGUGAGUGGAAUUCCCAGUGUAGAGGUGAAAUUCGUAGAUAUUGGGAAGAACACCGGUGGCGAAGGCGGCUCACUGGCUCAUUUCUGACGCUCAGGCGCGACAGCGUGGGGAUCAAACAGG
rnacentral:rRNA from 1 species